GUCUAUGCUGUAAACGAUGUGCACUUGGUGUUGGGCCGAUUAGGUUCAGUGCCGUAGCUAACGCGAUAAGUGCACCGCCUGGGGAGUAUGCUCGCAAGGGUGAAACUCAAAGGAAUUGACGGGGGCCCGCACAAGCGGUGGAUUAUGUGGUUUAAUUCGAUGAUACGCGAGAAACCUUACCAGGGUUUGACAUGUGCAGGAAUAAGCUAGAGAUAGUUUAGCCCGCAAGGGUCUGUACACAGGUGCUGCAUGGCUGUCGU
rnacentral:rRNA from 1 species